CACAGAUGGCUUUCCAUAAAAUUAAGCAUUUAAAUAAUUUGUUCAUUUAAAUUCGCAUUUCGAUCUCGAAUCAUUUCGUUUCGUUUCGUCGCACUGGCGGCACCGGCGGCACCGGCGGCAAGUGGUCUCCUCCGCUGCGUCGAAAAUCAUCCAAAAUCGUCGGCAAAUGUCUGCCUCAGCGCGCGGCAUGGCGCAUCUGGGCAUCGGCAACAACAGCAACAACAACAACAAACAGCAAUUGGAGCUGUCAAAACGGCGGCCAUAUUGAAAAUCAUUCAAGUAUUUCGAAACUCGAGGGCGGGGCCACACGACGCGCAUGCGGGUGCGGGUGCGAGCAGGCCGACAAGUGUAUGCCACGCAAGUGAGUGCGUAGAGUGCACCUCUAUAGAGCGGCCAUGCCUGCCACAUUCAGAGGCAACAUUAUGUUGCCUGUUCCGUUUGCUGCGCGAUGCGCAUGCGGUGUGCGUGGAAGAAGUACUGCUGUGCCGGUCCGAGCCAGCGACCAGGUCCGGGUCCAGGCACUUCGAAAACCAUCGAAAACUUCGAUGUCGAAAUCGAAACCCUUGCGGCAGUGGCAGCGAGAGAGCGAACCCUAGAAAUGGUUCUGUCAUGGUAUGGGUGUGCUCUCAGGUAGUUUGCGAGUGUAUUGGUGCGCUGCGCUGCACUAGUGUGGGUGCGAUCUUCGAAUGUUCGAACAUCGAAUUCAGUUUCGACUCAAAACCGGACUUCGAUUCGGGUCUCGGAACUGCUGGCUGCUCGCCGCCUGCUGCUUGCUGGUUUUCCAGAACUGGUUUGGUCUUGGGCCAGGUUUACCUGCUGCUCGAGAGUCUCUCUCCAUCUCCAUCUCCAUCUGCAGUUCUCCCUUCUCCCAGCCAUAAUCAUUCCUGGAGCCAGCGACAGCGACAGGGACAGGGACAGCGACAGCCAUAACCACUGCAUUUGGUUGGGCGGUUGCCCGAAUCGCUUUUUGGGAGUUAAUAUUCUAUUAGAGGCUCAUUUGUGUGAUUGCCAGCGCAGGAUAUGUGUAAUGCUCCUGCUCCAGCAUGUGAGCUCCAUCCUUGUAAUUGCCCGACGAUUGUCGGGUUUCAACUUUUUUUUGCACUUUUGCACUCGCCAGGCAAUUGAAUUGGCAACUGGCAAUUGGGCAAACAUUUGAUUUUGGCCCUUCUCUUGCAGUGUUUAACAACUCAAUUGAAGUUUGGUUCUUCGUUUCUUAUUAUCGCUUCUCUCUCACACACUCAUGAUUUAUGUGCCUCAAGCGGACUGCCUUGGACGCUCAAUAUCGCCCUGAUGGAUCACCGAUCGAUUGAUGGAUUGUGUGAACCCGGUCCCAGACACAGACACGCACUUGUCCGUCCGCCCGCUCGCUGAUACAAACAUACAUAGAUACAUAUGUACAGAUGUAUCUCGUAGUCAUCAUUAUUGGCUCGAGUGGAUUUCUGACAUCUUGCUUUGUUUCCUACAAUCAUUCUCAGCCAGUUUCCAGCUUGCUUUCGAGUAAUUAAUGAUUUAUUUCAGUUUUUUUGAAGUGUUGUCUUAAUUCCAGCGAAGUGAUUAUUGAUAGUUUUGCUCUCACUCUAUAUAUCUAUCUAUCUAUCGCUCUCGGGCAAAGUGUGAGAUGUUUGCAGUGUAGAUACAGUUGCGAUUGGCCAAAGAGUCAGAUGGUUGUUGCAUAUUCCCAAAUGAAAAUGGCGAUGUGUUACGGGAAGGUAACAAUUCAGUUUUUAAAGAAAUUUGAUGCUAAAAGGUGAAAUUCUUUAGGCGAUUGUCUGUUAAUCUAUUUACUUUUAUGCGGGAAUAGUUGGUUGUAGUUAUAUUUAAAUUAGG
rnacentral:lncRNA from 1 species